UUCUCGAAUGCAUGUCUUCUGUCUUGAGCAUGCUGUAGAAGUAGACCAGCAACUUCGUCAAAUAGGAGGAGUGCAUGUAUUUCUCCUUUGUCAUCCAGGUACAUUUUGGCAUUCGGUUUUUACCCAAAUGAAUAUUUACACAUAAAUGGGCACUCCUUUUCCUAACCCUUCCACAAAAGAAAAAAAAAACAGGAGAUAUUAUUUGCUGUAGUAAUGCGCAUUGCCUUAUGUUUCUGUUAUCUUAUGCAACUUGUUUUUGGAUGAUACUGCAUGUGAGCAUGUGAGUAAAGAAGUUGAGUAGGUGAGGGUUCCCGUAUUUUAACCUUCCCAUUUCCCACAUUUUUGUGCUUGUGAUUAUUAAUACAUGGAAGGGGAAUGAUGCCCUAAAGGUGAAGUCUGAGGGUAAGGUUUGAUCUCUAUUUUUUAUAAUCAGCUAGUUUAAUACCCUUGCAUUGCUGUGGGGUAAAACUUUUUAUCAAAUAAUUUAAAGAUAUUAUUGGUAUAAUUUGUGUUAUAAAAAGUAUUUUUAAUUAUCAAAGAUGAUUUGUCUUUCUCUUUCUUUUCUUUCUCAAUGAUCAAUGGUUAUUUUUUAACUUUUAAUAAUAUCUUAUGCUAUGUAUACUUUUUUAUUUUUUUUCAUUCAUUUUAUUUCACUUUUAUUUUGUAUCCACCACACUUAUACUUCAAGUUUAUUCUUUCUUCCCUUUUCUUUGUUUUUACUUUUUCUACAUUUUUUCGUUUUCCUUUUGUGGUUUUCUAUGUCCUUUCUCUUCAUUUUUAUUUUUGCAUUUAUAUUUGAAUUAUGAAUUUUCAAAUUAAUACUAUUUAUACACAAUACUGCAAUGCUAUUUAUCAUUUUUAAUGCUCAAUACUAUUCAUACUUUCAAUAAUUUUUUAUUUAUUAUCCUCCUUCCUUUUCUUUUCUUUUCUUUUAUCUAUAUCCUCCUCUCUCUUCAUUUUUUCUAUGUUAUAGUUUUUCUUUAAUUAUAUUGUUGUAAAUAGGUUUUUUAGUUCAAUUAUAUAGUUGUUUUAUUUUCCCUUGUCUCUUAAAUUUUUUAUUCUUUCUAUUUUUUUCUUUUAUACUUUUACUCAGUAUUAUGAUUGUUACUUUUAAUAGUAUUUUGCAAUACUUUUAGUUUUUUACUACACCUUUUUUUUUAUAUUUAUUUCCUUGAACUUUUUAAUUUAUUUUACUUAUAUUUCUAUUUAAUUUUUAAUCUUUUUUCUUUGAACUUUUGUUAUUCUCUCAUGUUGGCUCUUUAUACUUUUUUUUCCCUAUUUUUCUCCUUUUCUUCCCUUUUUUCUCUCUUUUUUUUUCCCUAUUUCCUUUCCUUUUUUUUUAAUUCUCUUUCCCUCCCUCACUGGUGGCAAGGAGCCAGUUCGGUGGCAGAGACCAGAUCUGGCCCCUCCUUGACUCUUCCUCUCUUCCACCCUGAUCUCUCUCUACCCCUUUCUUUCUCUUCAUUUUCCUCUUUGCCCUUGCUUUCUAUCCUCCGGCCUGCCACUGGCCAUCAAGCCCCUAGCUGGCCUCAGUCGGCUCCUUCCCUUCUAGCCCACGUCUGCCUCUUCAUUCUCCUCUCUCUUCCAGCCUUUAUGGCUCCAUCUCCAUCUUUCUCUCUCUUACGAAAAUAGGAAAAAAAAUGACAAACACAAAAUGCCAUACAAAUAGACGGGCAAAAAUGCCCUUAAGAAUUACAAAAUUCCAACCAGGUCACUUGAACUCAAAACUCAUUAUAGAUAAUAUAGAUAAUAGAUGACAGGCAGCAUGCACCAGCCAACUUGUCUAUUAACAUGUUUCUUCUAAUUUCAACAAUUUUUCUUUGUUUCUUUUGGCUGGGAAAAGUAUCCAGUGACCGUCUAUUAUUAUUUGCAUGUUUUGCAUCUUCUAAAAAACUAAUUAAUAGUUCUACCAAAUAACUAUUUUAGGUUCUUUUCUCUCCAGUCAUUAACAUUAUCUGUUGAACAAUGCAGAGUAUCCCAAGAUAGAAGCAGAAGCAAAGUUGGUGACCGAAGAACUAGGAAUUGAUUAUCCCUGGAAUGACAUUUUAUUUGGGGAUGCUACUAAGGAGGAUGAGGAGAGGAUCCAGUCAGCUCUUGAUAGUGAGGAUGCUAUACCUGGGAACGGAGACUGGGCUGUAAAGUUGGGUGUCAACCUAUUUUAUAGUGCCAAUCUCAGCCGCUCUACCCUGUACAGUAAACAGAUGCCAUACAAUUAUGUUAUAUACAGUGCAUUUGGCCGUAACUCUCCUGGUAGCUCACCCACAAAAUUGAAUGUGUAUGGGAGGAGGUCUGGCAAGCAGAAAAAAGUGGUGGCAGGAAAAUGGUGUGGUAAAGUUUGGAUGUCAAAUCAGGUUCAUCCAUUUUUGGCACAAAGGGAUCCUGAGGAACAAGAACAAGAAAGAGGCUUUCAUGCUUGGGCAACUUCAGAUGAAAAUCUUGAGAGAAAACCAGAAAAUGUUCACAAAGCUGAAACAACCAAGGUGGCUAAAAAGUUUAAUAGAAAGAGAAAAAUGAGGCCUGAGAUUGCAUCAAGCAAGAAAGUGAAAUGCAUUGAGACAGAGGGUGCAGUUUCAGAUGAUUCAUUGGAUGGUGGUUCUCUUAGGCAGCAACAGAUUUUUUUUAGAGGCAAGCAGCCUAGACUGAUUCAGAAAGAAGAGGCAAUUUCAUAUGAUUUGCUUGAGGAUGAUUCUCUUCUGCAGCAAAGGAAUCUCUCCAGGAAAAAAUUGGCAAAAUUUAUUGAAAGAGAAGGUGCUGAAUCAGAAGAUGCAGAAGAGGAAUUUACUCAUCAGCAGCAUUGGAGGAAUCUCAGAGGCAAGCAAGGCAAAUAUAUUGAAGAAGAUGAUGCAGUUUCGGGUGAUUCACUUGAUGAAAGUUCUCUUAAGCAGUAUAGGAGGAUUCCUCGAAGUUGGCAGGCCAAAUUUAGGGAGAGAGAAGAUAUUGUAUCAGAGGAUGAACUAGAGGAAAUUUCUCAUCGGCUGCAUAGGAGGAUUCCUAGAUGCAGGCAAAUCAAGUCAUGUGAGAAGAAUGAUGCUAUAUCAGAUGAUUCACGAGCAGAUAAUUCUCUUAAGCAGUAUAGAAGAAUGCCUAAAGGCAGGCAAGCAAACUUUGUUGAGAGAGAUGAUACAAUGUCAGAUGAUGCAUCAGAAGAUGAUUCUCAACAUCAGCUUAGGAGGAUUCCUAAAGGCAAGCAAAUGAAGUGCAUGGAAAGAGAUGAUGCAUUUUCAGAUGAUUCACUUGAGGAUAAUCUUCAACAGCAGCAUAGGAUUCCUAGAAGCAAAGUGGCCAAGUUUACUGAUAGAGAAGAUGUAGUUUCCUUUGAUUCAUUGAAGGGUAGUUCUCAUCAACAGCGUAGGAGGGUUUCUAGAAGCCAGCUAACCAAGUUUAUUGAGAGGGAAGAUGCGGUUUCGUCUGAUUCUCCAGAUGAUAGUUCUCUUCAGCAGCUUAGGAGGAUUCCGAGAAGUAAGCAAACCAAGAUUCUUGAGAGGGAAGAUGCAGUUUCAGAUGAUUCACUGGAUGAUACUUCUCAGCAGCGGCUUAGAAAGACUCCUAGAAGCAGACAAGGGAAAUUUAUUGAGAGGGAAGAUGCAGUUUCAUAUGAUUCGUUGGAUGAGAAUUAUCACCAACCAAAUAGGAGGACUCUUAGAAGCAGAAAGAAGAAAGCCCAGACACCGCGGCAAAUAAAACAAGAAACCCCUCGGAAUGUUAAACAAGGGAAACGUCGGACAACAAAACAAGUAGUCUCUCAGCAAAUAAAACAAGAGACUCCUCGGAAUCGGAACACCAAAAUUGAGCAAAGUGCUAGACAGUGCAAUUCAUAUGGUGAAGAUGAGCUAGAAGGUGGACCCAGCACACGCCUUAGGAAAAGAGUCCGAAAGCCUCUGAAAGAGUCAGAAACAAAACCAAAAGAGAAGAAGCAGGCCAGUAAGAAGAAAGUGAAGAAUGCUUCAAAUGUGAAAACUCUAGCUGGUCACAAUACUUCAAAAGUAAGGGAUGAGGAAGCAGAAUACCAGUGUGACAUGGAAGGAUGCACCAUGAGUUUUGGCUUGAAACAAGAGCUGCUCCUGCACAAAAGAAACAUUUGUCCGGUCAAGGGGUGUGGGAAGAAGUUCUUCUCACACAAGUAUCUGGUGCAGCAUCGCCGAGUUCAUUUGGAUGACCGACCUCUUAAAUGCCCUUGGAAGGGCUGCAAGAUGACAUUCAAGUGGGCAUGGGCCCGAACAGAACACAUUAGGGUUCACACAGGUGCUCGUCCUUACGUGUGUGCAGAAGAAGGCUGUGGGCAGACAUUUCGUUUUGUGUCAGAUUUCAGUCGUCACAAACGAAAGACUGGUCAUUCAGCAAAGAAAGGUAGGGGAUAAUUUGAAGGAAGAAAAGUGUAAUUUAACAUUUCUAAUGAACCUGUUGUUCAAUUGGCAGGGUAGGCUAGGUUCAACGAAAGGAUUAGAAUUUCCCCAUUGUUGUCAUUCAGGAAACUGUUAAUCAUGUUUUGUCCUGGGGUUUCCAUUGUGCCCAUUCAUUUACCGUAAUCAGAGCAAUUGCUUGGAUAUUGAAUCAGAUUCCUGCCUUAGCCCUGCCUACCGUGCUCCCUGUUCAGAUGCUCGUUCAUUGCAAUUUGCACCGCAUUUGGUGGCUCUAUGCCCUCCUACCAAAUAUCAAACUCGUGAGAAACGUGGUGAAGUUUCCUUCCAUACUUUUCCUUGGAAGUUAUCUCCGUCCAAAAUUCACCACCCUGGCCUCGUACCUUCCAUCCAUUCAAAUCAUAAGCCUUAAUUCUGGGCCAACCUAUUAUCCCCACUGUUUUCUUCGAGUCCUCCAAACUCUUCGUAAGUGAGGCUAACGUACAGUUUGGGCCGAGCUUUAAUUUGAAACCCAUUUUCUUUUUUUUUUCGUAAAUAAUGUUUUUAAACUGAACCGUCUGUCUUUGCGUCUUAAAUUUUGGAUAUUGUCCUAAAUAUUCUUUUAUGAUCUUGUAGACAUCCAUUAGUUUUCUUUGACCUAUCC
rnacentral:lncRNA from 1 species